rnacentral:rRNA from 1 species
UAAGUGGAUAGUGAAACCUGGUGGCUCAACCAUACAGACUAUUAUCCAAACUGUUAAGCUCGAGAAUGGUAGAGGUGGCUGGAAUUUCUAGUGUAGGAGUGAAAUCCGUAGAUAUUAGAAGGAACACCGAUGGCGUAGGCAGGCCACUGGACCAUUUCUGACGCUAAGGCACGAAAGCGUGGGGAGCGAACCGGAUUAGAUACCCGGGUAGUCCACGCCGUAAACGAUGGAUGCUA